GAUGAACGCUGGCGGCGUGCCUAAUACAUGCAAGUCGAGCGAACGGACGAGAAGCUUGCUUCUCUGAUGUUAGCGGCGGACGGGUGAGUAACACGUGGAUAACCUACCUAUAAGACUGGGAUAACUUCGGGAAACCGGAGCUAAUACCGGAUGAUAUUUUGAACCGCAUGGUUCAAAAGUGAAAGACGGUCUUGCUGUCACUUAUAGAUGGAUCCGCGCUGCAUUAGCUAGUUGGUAAGGUAACGGCUUACCAAGGCAACGAUGCAUAGCCGACCUGAGAGGGUGAUCGGCCACACUGGAACUGAGACGCGGUCCUGGCUCCUACGGGAGGCAGCAGUAGGGAAUCUUCCGCAAUGGGCGAAAGCCUGACGGAGCAACGCCGCGUGAGUGAUGGAGGUCUUCGGAUCGUAAAACUCUGUUAUUAGGGAAGAACAUAUGUGUAAGUAACUGUGCACAUCUUGACGGUACCUAAUCAGAAAGCCACGGCUAACUACGUG
rnacentral:rRNA from 1 species